rfam:Myotis lucifugus cont2.36023, whole genome shotgun sequence.
CUCGGGGUGGGGGGAUCCCUCAGCCCAGAUUGCUUAAGGGUACAGGCCAGGCUGAGGGACCCCACCGAUGCACA